AUUGCCCUCCUCAGUGAUGGUUUAUCCUUUCAUUAAAGCUCUUACCUCUUUGACUGUUUGGAAAGAGGAGAAAACAUCCCCUAACUUGUGAAAUCUCGUGUUCAAAACUAAACAGUGUUUAAAUUACAAGCAUGGUACUUAUCCCCACUCUGGGUUGGAGAAUUGAUGCUUUUAGUUUCCUGUUUUGAGACACGUUCUCAGGUAGACUUAGCUAGCUCAAACUCACUCUGUAGUGGAGACUCUUCCUGAACACCUGAAUCGUCCUCUACCUCCCAGCUGCUGGCACAUAGGCAUGUGCCUGCAUAUCCAGCUUGGUAAACCUGAACAUUUUUUACUCUUUCAUUAAGGAUGGGGUAGCUGGAUGGCUCAGUUGGUAGAGGAACUUGACAUUAAGAGUAUAUAACUUAGAUCCCUGGGUCCUACAUGAUAGGGAAAGAACUAACUCUGCAAAUUGUUCUCUGACCUUUACAUGAGUUCCAUGACACAUGUGUACUGCCCUUUCUAAAUAUUAAAAAAAAAAAAGUCACUAACAUACUUGUACUAUUCUUGUCAAAGACCUUUCAUUUGUUUGUUUUAUCCUUUUGCCUCACCAAAUAAAGAACAAAUCUCAGCAUACUUAAAAGUGUUUGAUCUUUUGAUCCGAUUCCUGUUUCGGUACUUUAUAAAAAUUUCAUCUAAAACUAAUUUACUCAAGUAUAAGAAAAAAAUAAGCUUACUUGUCACAUCCUGGAUUUGCCAAAAACAAAUAUAAUGGGACAUGGAAGCAACUUUUUCUAUUUUCAUCUUCAAUAUAUUUCCAAUUUUAUUUACAGGAUAAAGAUGGAAAACCACUAUUGCCAGAGCCUGAAGAAACAUCUAAGGUUGGAGAAUAACUUUUUCCUAAACCUAGCAGAAAUAUAAGGAGUAAUUAAGGUCAUUUAAAAAACACCAUAUUUCACAUGUAGCCUAGUGCUGAGAACUCUGAUAGUAACUAAGUGCUGAGGCCUCUGCUCUUUUGCAUAUAUUUUAGUGAUGAUUUCCCUCAUGAAUUAUUACUAGACUAUUAAUUUCUAAGCAGCACUCACCAAUCAUUAGGGGUUGAUGCCAAAAGAGCUUUGACAUUCUAUUAUUUUAGCAUUAAAUUUAGACUUUGGUCUAGGAACAGCAUGAAAUAAUUUAUUAUUUUUAUAUUGCCUUAAAUAGGCAUAGUUUCCUGUCAUGAUAUCACCAAUUAGCAACAUUUAUUAAUCACCUACUAUGUGCUCAACAUUGCUUCAAGUGAUUUUCACAUCUUUUUCAUUUUUUUUUAAAUUUUUUUUAUUACGUAUUUUCCUCAAUUACAUUUCCAAUGCUAUCCCAAAAGUCCCCCAUACCCUCCCCCCCCACUUCCCUACCCACUCAUUCCCAUUCUUUGGCCCUAGCGUUCCCCUGUACUGGGGCAUAUACAGUUUGCGUGUCCAAUGGGCCUCUCUUUCCAGUGAUGGCCGACUAGGCCAUCUUUUGAUACAUAUGUAGCUAGAGUCAAGAGCUCCUGGGUUACUCUUUCAUUAUUUUCAUUAUGAUUAGUUCAUAAUGUUGUUGCACCUACAGGGUUACAGAUCUCUUUAGCUCCUUGGAUACUUUCUCUAGCUCCUCCAUUGGGGGCCCUGGGAUCCAUCCAAUAGCUGACUGUGAGCAUCCACUUAUGUGUUUGCUAGGCCCCGGCCUAGUCUCACAAGAGAGAGCUAUAUCUGGGUCCUUUCAGCAAAAUCUUGCUAGUGUAUGCAAUGGUGUCAGCGUUUGGAAGCUGAUUAUGGGGUGGAUCCCUAGAUAAGGCAGUCUCUAGAUGGUCCAUCCUUUUGUCUCAGCUCCAAACUUUGUCUCUGUAACUCCUUCCAUGGGUGUUUUGUUCCCAAUUCUAAGAAGGGGCACAGUGUCCACACUUUGGUCUUCAUUCUUCUAGACUUUCAUGCAUUUGGCAAAUUGUAUCUUAGCCAUUGUAUAUAGUUAGCGUUGAUUGCAUGAGUACAGGUCUGGGCUUAUUUAUUGGUGCAUGGGCAAUUUCCCAGUAGUUAUACCCUUGAGGAGAAAUAGCUUCUGUGUCCCAGCAGCCAUGAAGUGCCUGAGCUCCUCAAAGAGAUGUAGCUUGCUAAGCCCCUCCCCCAACCAUGAUGGAAUGCUGGUAGGCUCCAUGUUAUGCAUGCAACUAUCACUAUAGGCAACUUCAGCUGCUCGGAGUUUAUGAGUGCAGCAGCCAUGUCCUUUCUCGAAGAAAGCACACCACUCCCCUCUUUCUGUUCCUUGUUCCAAGAUGUUUCCUGAGCUGUUAGUGUGGAGGGGAGGGGGUGAGUGAUAUGUCCCAUUUAGGGCAGAGUACUUACCAAUCACUAAUUCUCAGCAUUUUGAUCAAAUAUCAGUCUCUGCAUUAACCUGCCAAGAAAAGAAGUUUCUAUGCCUGAUAUCAGGAGUAGCACUAAUCUGUAGCUUUUCGCGUGUUUUGUGAGUUUUUAUUCCAGUUUUACAGUGAAGACAUAGAGGCAACAGAACAUGGAUAUAACCCAAGGUCACAUGGCUAUAGAAAAUACUAGGUCCACAACUCAGAGCUUGGGCUUUCCCACCAGGGGCACAGCUCGAGUUACACAUCUUCACCAUAGAUUAUGUCUUAGUUGGGGUUUUACUACUGUGAACAGACACCAUGACCAAGACAAGUCUUAUAAAAGACAACAUUUAAUUGGGGCUGGCUUACAGGUUCAGAGGUUCAGUCCGGUAUCAUCAAGGUAGGAGCAGGGCAGCAUCUAUGCAGGCAUGAUGCAGGCAGAGCUGAGAGUUCUACAUCUUCAUCUGAAGGCAGCUAGUGGAAGACUGACUUCCAGGUUGUAGGGAGAGGGUCUUAAGCACACACCCACAGUGACUCCAAUGGGGCCACAUUUUCUAAUAGUCUCACUCCCUGGGCCCAGCAUAUAUAAACCAUCAGAGUUAUUUUAGUAGAAUUCCCACAUGGAUUGGCUCUGCUGGAAGAAAUGGGGUUAUCACAAUUUCCUGACAGAAACAAUUUCUUCUUCUUUCUGUCCCUUCCAAGUAUGAGUUGUGUUUCCUCUGCUUUAUUCUGAAAGAAAAUCAUUAAGAAUUAGGAAAUGAAUAAUCACUUUUAAAAUUGCAAUUCUUUAUCAGUGGAGCAGGAAAUUUUGAGUAAAAGUCUAUAACGAUCUUUUUACUCUAUGGUUUUAAACAAUUAAAACUUUAUUGUAAAGUACUUGUCUAUAAAAUGAUUACAAAGUGAGAUUAGACUUCUGCUCAGUUUAUAGAGUUGAUUUAUCAUGUAAGUAAAAAAAAAAUAUUUGGCUGUCCCACAGUGCUAAGGUCCAGUAUUCUACACUUCUGUGACAAUUUUUCCUCACAUCCAUAAAUGAAGAAUAUAGCUUUUGAUUUGGGAUAAUAUGAUGUAACUAAGCCAUGUUAAGCAAGU
rnacentral:lncRNA from 1 species